UACGGGGGGGGCAAGCGUUGUUCGGAAUUACUGGGCGUAAAGGGCUCGUAGGCGGCCAACUAAGUCGGAUGUGAAAUCCCCAGGCUUAACCUGGGAACUGCAUCCGAUACUGGAUGGCUUGAAUCCGGGAGAGGGAUGCAGAAUUCCAGGUGUAGCGGUGAAAUGCGUAGAUAUCUGGAGGAAUACCAGUGGCGAAGGCGGCCUUCUGGACGGAUACUGACGCUGAGGCGCGAAAGCCAGGGGAGCAAACGGG
rnacentral:rRNA from 1 species